CGCGGGCAUUCUUCGCUUCGGAAGGCCGAAUGUUUCAAAGUUGCUGCUGUGCCGUUCGCUGACGGCUAUUGUGUGCGCUUAAGGCCUUUGGGGGGGGGGGAGAGCGCCAGGAGGGGGCUCUGACCCCCCGUCGGUGUGGAUUUGCUGCCCAAAGACCGUUAGAAAGAGGCAGAAUGAAUGAGGCUGAAUGGAAUUGUAAUGCACAAGGCCCUCCUCCUUUCUCAAGGAGCUGGGAGGCCAGGAAAGCGAGUCGCGGGGAGAGCAGGCGGCUUUCUUGCACAUGGGGAGAGGCUUUGCAAAUCAGCAAAUUGUGUAUUGCUCGGGGAAGAGGGGAGGGAGGCGAGUUAUUUAUUGUUUUUUUUAUUACAGAUCCAAAAAAAAAAAAAAAAAACACAAAAAAAAACACUACCACCACCCUGCAGCAGCCGAGAAGACCAAAAGGAGACAGAGAAAAAGAGGGAGAGGAGACGUGAUAGAAAGAUCUCGUUCCCAAACCUCUUUUUAGGUGCAGAACCCUAUUUAUAGGGUGCGCGCUCCGCUACACCGCCUCGGUCCGCCAGCCCGGAGCAGUACGUUAUCGAUGCAGCUGCAAGUGCUCAAAGCUUAAACAAUAUUUUCCGAAAAGCCCGGCAGCCCGCCCGGGAGGAAGGUGGGGACGGGCUGGCGAUGGAGUCCUGAAUGUUCCUCCUCCAGUUUCAAGGACAUCUUGCUGAUGAGGAUUUGGUUAAUGGAGGAGAACUUAUGUCCUGGCGGUGACGUCAUUGGGUCCCAAUGUAAUCCUCUUGUGCUGAACCCAAUCAGCAGAUGUGCUGAGAGCCGGGAUGCGGAGAAGAAGCUCUAAUCCCUUAGCCUGGAUGAGAUCAGCUGAAACAGCCAGGACUAGACCCCAAACCCCUCUGCUAGGAAGAUCAAGAGAAAAGGGAUAAAUUGAGCGAGACGCCUCCUAACCCCUUUAAAGAGCUUUGGAGAAGAGAAGAGAAGAGAAAGAUGGGUGGUGCACCAAGUUCAUCUUGCUUUUAAAGCCUAGCGGGAGCCUGGUUUUCACGCCGAUGGGGUCCUUCUGCAUUGUUCCAGGGCAGGAGGAGAGAGAGAGGAAAAAAAAAAAAAAAGAGAGAGAAAAGGAAAAAAAAAA